rnacentral:lncRNA from 1 species
GCCGCCUGGAGCAGGAGAUCGCCACGUACCGCCGGCUGCUGGAGGGCGAGGACGCCCACAUGACCUCCCACUACGCCUCACAGCCUGUGAAAGAAGGGCCCGUGACCACACGCCAGAUCCGCACCAUCUUCGAGGAGGUGCAGGACGGGAAGGUGAUCUCCUCCCGUGAGCAGAUCACACAGGCUGCUCUCUGAGCGCUCCGCUCCCACAGCUUCGCUUCGUGCCGCACCGCUGCAGCCCACCCCCC